rnacentral:rRNA from 1 species
CACUCCUGCGGGAGGCAGCAGUAGGGAAUAUUGGACAAUGGGCGCAAGCCUGAUCCAGCCAUGCCGCGUGAGUGAUGAAGGCCCUAGGGUUGUAAAGCUCUUUCACCGGUGAAGAUAAUGACGGUAACCGGAGAAGAAGCCCCGGCUAACUUCGUGCCAGCAGCCGCGGUAAUACGAAGGGGGCUAGCGUUGUUCGGAUUUACUGGGCGUAAAGCGCACGUAGGCGGACUAUUAAGUCAGGGGUGAAAUCCCGGGGCUCAACCCCGGAACUGCCUUUGAUACUGGUAGUCUUGAGUUCGAGAGAGGUGAGUGGAAUUCCGAGUGUAGAGGUGAAAUUCGUAGAUAUUCGGAGGAACACCAGUGGCGAAGGCGGCUCACUGGCUCGAUACUGACGCUGAGGUGCGAAAGCGUGGGGAGCAAACAGGAUUAGAAACCCGAGUAGUCCCA